CAGCCGCCGCGGUAACACCGAGGGUGCGAGCGUUAAUCGGAUUUACUGGGCGUAAAGCGUGCGUAGGCGGCUUCUUAAGUCGGAUGUGAAAUCCCUGAGCUUAACUUAGGAAUUGCAUUCGAUACUGGGAAGCUAGAGUAUGGGAGAGGAUGGUAGAAUUCCAGGUGUAGCGGUGAAAUGCGUAGAGAUCUGGAGGAAUACCGAUGGCGAAGGCAGCCAUCUGGCCUAAUACUGACGCUGAGGUACGAAAGCAUGGGGAGCAAACAGGAUUAGAUACCCCCGUAGUCCCUGUCUCUUAUAC
rnacentral:rRNA from 1 species